UACGGGGGGAGCAAGCGUUGUUCGGAUUUACUGGGCGUAAAGGGCGCGUAGGCGGCGCAACAAGUCACUUGUGAAAUCUCCGGGCUUAACCCGGAGCGGCCAAGUGAUACUGUCGUGCUAGAGUGCGGAAGGGGCUACUGGAAUUCUCGGUGUAGCGGUGAAAUGCGUAGAUAUCAGGAGGAACACCUAUUGCGAAGGCAGCUCGCUGGGACGUAACUGACGCUGAGACGCGAAAGCGUGGGGAGCAAACAGG
rnacentral:rRNA from 1 species